AUUUUAUGCGUGCGAAGUAGUACAAAGUUUAUUACAAUUUUUUUUAAAAAUCUAGUACAAUUUUAAAGAUCGUGUAUAUUCUUCGCAAUUAGUAAAGGAUAGUAGAUGUUAAUGAGAUUUUGUAUUAUUUUUAAAAUUGUACAAGAAAGUCGUAGAGGCAUCACCAAAUAAUUUUUCUGAAAGUAGUACAAUUUUUUCCUAAUUUUCCUUUACAAGAGAAAUACAAGAUUUAAUAAAUAUAAGACAAUAAUCAUCUUAGUACAAUUAUUUGUACUAAAUUCAAUUUAUGCGUAGCCAAAAGAUUUAUAGAAUCUCUUAAAUGUGGUUUAAUAUUUAGUACAAAUUUUCAUUUAUAUUUAGUACAAUUUUAAAAUAAGAAUCACUCGGCUCGUAAAACAUGAAAUAUGUUUAUUGAAUUUUGUACAAAUAAAAAAUUGUACUGAGGCCACCCCUAAAGUAUUUUUAAAUACAAUAUCGCUAAUAUUCUGUGAGAAAUAGUACAAAUAAUAUUUAAAAAUUUGUACUAGAAAUACCUUAUGCGUGGCCAAAGGCCUAGCAUCAUCACACAAUUUUUCUGAAAUUUAGGUUAUGAAUUAUAGCUAAUGAACUAUAGCUAUCUCUUAUAAUUAAGGAGAUAUUUCAAAAAAACAUUUGGUCCUUCGAGCCGGAUUUUGCACUUAAAUCCCCAUAUCUCAGGAACUAAUGAAGAUAAAUAUAAAGUGUUUGGGUUCAUUUUAAUCAGCAUAAGAUUCUUUAUUUAAUUAGUGAAAAUUUUGAACAAUUUAAAAAAAAAAUAAGAUUUUGAAGUGGCUGGAAAAUAUAUUUUAUUUAAAUAGGUUAAUAGAGCUUUCGUUCCCGAUUCCAUUAAUACCAAACACUCUAUAGGUAUCUCUAGUAGUUUGCGAGAUAUUUGAGAAAAACAUUUGGUCCUUCGAGCCGGAUUUUGCACUUUCAGGCUCUAUAUCUUGAGAACUAUUAAAGAUAAAUAUAGAGUGUUUGGGUUCAUUUUAAUCAGCAUGGAAUUGUCCAUCCAAUCAACAAAAAAAACAAAUAUUUUUUUAAUUUUAAAUAUCUGGACCUAAUUUUGAGUGUCUAAAAAAUUAUUUUCAUGUCAACAGAUCAAUGCGGCUUUUUCUCCCAAUUACAUUGAUACCAAACACUCUAUAGCUAUCUCUUAUAGUUAAGGAGAGAUUUUCAAAAAAACAUUUGGUCCUUCGAGCCGGAUUUUGCACUUAAAUCCCCAUAUCUCAGGAACUAAUGAAGAUAAAUAUAAAGUGUUUGUGUUCAUUUUAAUCAGCAUAAGAUUCUUUAUUUAAUUAGUGAAAAUUUUGAACAAUUUAAAAAAAUAAUAAGAUUUUGAAGUGGCUGGAAAAUAUAUUUUAUUUAAAUAGGUUAAUAGAGCUUUCAUUAGCGAUUCCAUUAAUACCAAACACUCUAUAGGUAUCUCUAGUAGUUUGCGAGAUAUUUGAGAAAAACAUUUGGUCCUUCGAGCCGGAUUUUGCACUUUCAGGCUCUAUAUCUUGAGAACUAUUACAGAUAAAUAUAGAGUGUUUGGGUUCAUUUUAAUCAGCAUAGAAUUGUCCAUCCAAUCAACAAAAAAAAAAAUAUUUUUUUAAUUUUAAAUAUCUGGACCUAAUUUUGAGUGUCUAAAAAAUUAUUUUCAUGUCAACAGAUCAAUGCGGCUUUUUCUCCCAAUUACAUUGAUACCAAACACUCUAUAGCUAUCUCUUAUAGUUAAGGAGAGAUUUUCAAAAAAACAUUUGGUCCUUCGAGCCGGAUUUUGCACUUAAAUCCCCAUAUCUCAGGAACUAAUGAAGAUAAAUAUAAAGUGUUUGGAUUCAUUUUAAUCAGCAUAAGAUUCUUUAUUUAAUUAGUGAAAAUUUUGAACAAUUAAAAAAAAAUUAAAAUUUUGAAGUGACUGGAAAAUAUAUUUUAUUUAAAUAGGUUAAUAGAGCUUUCGUUCCCGAUUCCAUUAAUACCAAACACUCUAUAGGUAUCUCUAGUAGUUUGCGAGAUAUUUGAGAAAAACAUUUGGUCCUUCGAGCCGAAUUUUGCACUUUCAGGCUCUAUAUCUUGAGAACUAUUAAAGAUAAAUAUAGAGUGUUUGGGUUCAUUUUAAUCAGCAUAGAAUUGUCCAUCCAAUCAACAAAAAAAAACAAAUAUUUUUUUAAUUUUAAAUAUCUGGACCUAAUUUUGAGUGUCUAAAAAAUUAUUUUCAUGUCAACAGAUCAAUGCGGCUUUUUCUCCCAAUUACAUUGAUACCAAACACUUUAUAGCUAUCUCUUAUAGUUAAGGAGAUAUUUUUAAAAAAACAUUUGGUCCUUCGAGCCGGAUUUUGCACUUAAAUCCCCAUAUCUCAGGAACUAAUGAAGAUAAAUAUAAAGUGUUUGAGUUCAUUUUAAUCAGCAUAAGAUUCUUUAUUUAAUUAGUGAAAAUUUUGAACAAUUAAAAAAAAAUUAAAAUUUUGAAGUGGCUGGAAAAUAUAUUUUAAUUAAAUAGGUUAAUAGAGCUUUCGUUCCCGAUUCCAUUAAUACCAAACACUCUAUAGGUAUCUCUAGUAGUUUGCGAGAUAUUUGAGAAAAACAUUUGGUCCUUCGAGCCGGAUUUUGCACUUUCAGGCUCUAUAUCUUGAGAACUAUUACAGAUAAAUAUAGAGUGUUUGGGUUCAUUUUAAUCAGCAUAGAAUUGUCCAUCCAAUCAACAAAAAAAAAAUAUUUUUUUAAUUUUAAAUAUCUGGACCUAAUUUUGAGUGUCUAAAAAAUUAUUUUCAUGUCAACAGAUCAAUGCGGCUUUUUCUCCCAAUUACAUUGAUACCAAACACUCUAUAGCUAUCUCUUAUAGUUAAGGAGAGAUUUUCAAAAAAACAUUUGGUCCUUCGAGCCGGAUUUUGCACUUAAAUCCCCAUAUCUCAGGAACUAAUGAAGAUAAAUAUAAAGUGUUUGGAUUCAUUUUAAUCAGCAUAAGAUUCUUUAUUUAAUUAGUGAAAAUUUUGAACAAUUAAAAAAAAAUUAAAAUUUUGAAGUGACUGGAAAAUAUAUUUUAUUUAAAUAGGUUAAUAGAGCUUUCGUUCCCGAUUCCAUUAAUACCAAACACUCUAUAGGUAUCUCUAGUAGUUUGCGAGAUAUUUGAGAAAAACAUUUGGUCCUUCGAGCCGAAUUUUGCACUUUCAGGCUCUAUAUCUUGAGAACUAUUAAAGAUAAAUAUAGAGUGUUUGGGUUCAUUUUAAUCAGCAUAGAAUUGUCCAUCCAAUCAACAAAAAAAAACAAAUAUUUUUUUAAUUUUAAAUAUCUGGACCUAAUUUUGAGUGUCUAAAAAAUUAUUUUCAUGUCAACAGAUCAAUGCGGCUUUUUCUCCCAAUUACAUUGAUACCGAACACUCUAUAGCUAUCUCUUAUAGUUAAGGAGAUAUUUUUAAAAAAACAUUUGGUCCUUCGAGCCGGAUUUUGCACUUAAAUCCCCAUAUCUCAGGAACUAAUGAAGAUAAAUAUAAAGUGUUUGAGUUCAUUUUAAUCAGCAUAAGAUUCUUUAUUUAAUUAGUGAAAAUUUUGAACAAUUAAAAAAAAAUUAAAAUUUUGAAGUGGCUGGAAAAUAUAUUUUAAUUAAAUAGGUUAAUAGAGCUUUCGUUCCCGAUUCCAUUAAUACCAAACACUCUAUAGGUAUCUCUAGUAGUUUGCGAGAUAUUUGAGAAAAACAUUUGGUCCUUCGAGCCGGAUUUUGCACUUUCAGGCUCUAUAUCUUGAGAACUAUUACAGAUAAAUAUAGAGUGUUUGGGUUCAUUUUAAUCAGCAUAGAAUUGUCCAUCCAAUCAACAAAAAAAAAAAUAUUUUUUUAAUUUUAAAUAUCUGGACCUAAUUUUGAGUGUCUAAAAAAUUAUUUUCAUGUCAACAGAUCAAUGCGGCUUUUUCUCCCAAUUACAUUGAUACCGAACACUCUAUAGCUAUCUCUUAUAGUUAAGGAGAUAUUUUUAAAAAAACAUUUGGUCCUUCGAGCCGGAUUUUGCACUUAAAUCCCCAUAUCUCAGGAACUAAUGAAGAUAAAUAUAAAGUGUUUGAGUUCAUUUUAAUCAGCAUAAGAUUCUUUAUUUAAUUAGUGAAAAUUUUGAACAAUUAAAAAAAAAUUAAAAUUUUGAAGUGACUGGAAAAUAUAUUUUAUUUAAAUAGGUUAAUAGAGCUUUCGUUCCCGAUUCCAUUAAUACCAAACACUCUAUAGGUAUCUCUAGUAGUUUGCGAGAUAUUUGAGAAAAGCAUUUGGUCCUUCGAGCCGGAUUUUGCACUUUCAGGCUCUAUAUCUUGAGAACUAUUAAAGAUAAAUAUAGAGUGUUUGGGUUCAUUUUAAUCAGCAUAGAAUUGUCCAUCCAAUCAACAAAAAAAAACUAAUAUUUUUUAAUUUUAAAUAUCUGGACCUAAUUUUGAGUGUCUAAAAAAUUAUUUUCAUGUCAACAGAUCAAUGCGGCUUUUUCUCCCAAUUACAUUGAUACCAAACACUCUAUAGCUAUCUCUUAUAGUUAAGGAGGGAUUUUCAAAAAAACAUUUGGUCCUUCGAGCCGGAUUUUGCACUUAAAUCCCCAUAUCUCAGGAACUAAUGGAGAUAAAUAUAAAGUGUUUGAGUUCAUUUUAAUCAGCAUAAGAUUCUUUAUUUAAUUAGUGAAAAUUUUGAACAAUUAAAAAAAAAAUAAGAUUUUGAAGUGGCUGGAAAAUAUAUUUUAUUUAAAUAGGUUAAUAGAGCUUUCGUUCCCGAUUCCAUUAAUACCAAACACUCUAUAGGUAUCUCUAGUAGUUUGCGAGAUCUUUGAGAAAAACAUUUGGUCCUUCGAGCCGGAUUUUGGGAAAAUUAAUUUUCUUAGGAGAAAGAUACAAGUUUCAAAAAAUCCAAUACUUUAGUACAACUUUUGCAUUAUUUGUACUAAAUUGACAAUAUGCUUGACCAGAGGCUCGAUAGAGUGUUUUGAAAGUACCAUAAUACUUAGUACAAUUUUUUAUAGUUUAGUGCAAUUUCAAAAGGAACUCCGCGGUACAAUUAUUUUUUUGUAUUUAUAUUUAUUUUAAAAUUUUCUUAAAAAAAAAAGCGAGAUUAAACAAAUCGAUCAACUUAGUACAAUUUUUUGAUAAUUUGUACUAAAUUCAUUUAAUGCGUGGCCAGAGGCUCUUUUGGGAGUAGUAUAAAGUUUAUUACAAUUUUUUUGAAAAUCUAGUACAAUUUUUAAAGAUCGAGUAUUUUCCUCGCAAUUAGUAAAGGAUAGUAGAUGUUAAUAAGAUUUUGUACAAUUUUUAAAAUUGUACAAAAAAGUCGCAGAGGCCUUGCAUCACCAUACAAUACAAGUAUAACAGAACAACAAGUACAAUUAUAAUUAGUACAAUUUUUUAAUUAAUUUUUUUUUUAUUUAACCAGAGCAUUUUUAGAAUCUUUUAAAUGUAGUUUAAUAUUUAGUACAAAUUUUCAUUUAUAUUUAGUACAAUUUUAAAAAAUUGUACUGAGGCCUCUGUAGUAAGUAGUAAGUAUUUUUAAAUAUAAUAUCGAUAAUAUUUAUGUAAGAAAUAGUACAACAUAUUUCAGAAUAGAAAUUUGUACUAUUUAAAAAUUUGUACUAGAAAUACCUUAUGCGUGGCCAAAGGCCUCGCAUCAUCACACAAUUUUGCUGAAAUUAGUACAAUUUUUAGUACAAUUUUUAUGUUUUUUAGGGAAAAUUAAUUUUCUUACGAAGGAGAUACAAGUUUCAAAAAAUCGAAUAUUUUAGUACAACUUUUGGAAUAUUUGUACUAAAUUGAAAAUAUGCCGGGCCAAAGGCUCGAUAGAGUCUUUUGAAAGUAGCAUAAUAUUUAGUACAAUUUUUUAUAGUUUAGUACAAUUUUAAAAGGAACCUCUGGGUUCGUUCAGCUUAAAAAAUGUUGAUUGAGUUUCGCGGAUCUUAAUUUUAAAAUUUAUUGUACAAUUUUAAUAAAGGUAAUUCAAUCUGUUAUUAUUGUACAACUUUCGAAUAAUUUGUAUCAAAUCUAUAGGUUGCCAGGGGUUACAUGCUAGUAGUACUAUAUUUAGUACAUUUAAAAAAAUAUAUUUAGUGGAGUUUUAGAAGAAUUGAAGGGUUUUCCUAUGCUAGUGAAGUACAAAAGGUUUUAAUAGAAAUUUGUGAAAAUUGUACUAAAAAAUUAUUGCGCAUGGCCAGAGGCCUCAAAAAAAAUAGUACAAUAUUUUGUACAAUUAUUUUUUUUCUAUUGAUAUUAAUUGUACAUAAAAAUCAAUUUUUCUUCAAGAAAGGUACAAUUAAAUAAAUCAAUAUAAUGCGUAACUCCUGGCCACCUAAUGCGUUUUCAGUACAAUUUUACUAGCAAAUGGUCGAACACAGUACAUUUGUACUAAAUAUCCUUGUGUGAAUGGGUACAAAAUAGUACAAAAUAUUCACAGGGAAUUUUGUACAAUGCAAAAAUUUGUACUUAAAAACUCAAGAGUCUGCACUGUGGCCAUGGACAAUUAGCAAAUAAUCGCUCAUAGCUCCGUUAGUUUCAACUUGAGGUAAAAAACGCACUGAACCUUUUUUCUUAAGCAUAAAAUUCCCUAUCAUUUGAUGUAACAAUAUAUAGGGUGGCCCAAUUAAAAAGGGACAUUUCCUUUGAUAAACUUUCGCCACCGUUUUUUAGCACAAAAACUCAACUUCUCUCACCCUGUAGAUAUAGAAAAGGGUGUAAUAAGACAGCGAAAUACAAUCAUACCUAAGGACACCUAUGUACCGAUGACCAAAGUGUAUUAAUAAGUUAAGAACGUUUAAAAAAAAAGCAAUAAAAACUAACGUCUAAGUUACAUCGAACGUACGUAGUUAACCUGUAAAUAAACGCCUUAAUAAUCAAAAUAUUCACUAUAUAAUGUAAUGAUAUCUUGUAUACUGCUGCUGACGGUCUUCCUGGAUAUUCCUGUUUGAUUUUUGUACAAUUUUUUUGCUCCAGAAUUAAUCUCUAAGCCCUCUUCGAUGUGCUACUAAAGUACUAUAAGUGUUUGUGUAUAAAUAAAUAAAUAAAUAAAUAAAAUAAAUAAAUGUUAGUUUUUAGCUGAUUUCCGUCUUAAAUGAAGAAAAGGCUCGUUAUUUGUAUGUUAAACUUGUUUUGUUUUUUUUUUUUUACUUAAGUUUGUGUUUUUAUAUUUUUAUUUGUUUGUUUUUUUUUGUAUUGAUAAGUAGAGCUGUUUAUAUAUUAUAUACGUACGUUAUUAUGAGUGCUGUUUUUUGAAUCGAUACAUUUGGCGCUUUUUUGCAAUAAAAAAUUGUUUAAUGGA